UCUAACCAUUAUAAGAGAACCUUUAGUAAAUCAUCAGUAGAACGGGACUCUUCAUUUAACGGCGCACCUACUAACAGAUACAUUUUAAAGAGGAAUCGGUAUCCAACUUCAGCUGUGAAGGUAGCUGCCAGCACAGCUGCAAAUAAUCAAUCAAAAAAAGAUGUUUAUGAAUUCAGUCUGGAUGUACCAGAGC